rnacentral:rRNA from 1 species
GACGAACGCUGGCGGCGUGCCUAACACAUGCAAGUCGAGCGGGGUUGAAGCGAGGGGUAACUCGAGUUUCUACCUAGCGGCGGACGGGUGAGUAACGCGUGGGCAACCUGCCUCAAGGACUGGGAUAACAGCUCGAAAGGGCUGCUAAUACCGGAUAUGCCUGUGGCCUCGCAUGGGGCUAUGAGCAAAGGGGAAACCCGCCUUGAGAUGGGCCCGCGUCCCAUCAGCUAGUUGGUGAGGUGAAGGCUCACCAAGGCGACGACGGGUAGCCGGCCUGAGAGGGUGACCGGCCACACUGGGACUGAGACACGGCCCAGACUCCUACGGGGGGCAGCAGUGGGGAAUCUUGCACAAUGGGCGAAAGCCUGAUGCAGCGACGCCGCGUGAGCGAAGAAGGCCUUCGGUUGUAAAGACUCUGUCUGGAGGGACGAAGGAAGUGACGGUACCUCCGGAGGAAGCCACGGCUAACACGUG